rnacentral:lncRNA from 1 species
ACUAAAAUGAGGACUUUAUUAAAGGAGGCUGGGAAGAGCGAGCUUUUUAUUUGCAUCACGACACAAUAUAUCUCAACACAAAUAUGGACAUGUUAAUCUCAGUUAUAGAACUGUUUGUACCUUUCCUGUUGAAAUAUUUCACUUGUUCAAAAUCUCGAGCACUGCGUUCUCAAAUGUUUCAGAAUUUUCUUCUUGCAGCCAGCCCAUAGCUCAGAAGCAUUUCAAGAUUGAAAUUUUUUGCAAAUGGAUUUGCCUUUUAACCCAAACAUCCAAAUAAUGCAGGCAACCACUGCACUGGUCAUCUAGAGAUCGAAAUAGAAACAUGAAGUGAAAGCCCUUCAUUCUAGACAGAAGAACGUCAGAACCAACAUGUCGAGAAAUAUCAGGAUUCAGGAGCUGUCAAUCAGACCCAUGGAUAGGUUGAAAGAGUCCAGGUACCUGAAGAAAUUCAUUUUGAAAAUAGUCAUGUAAAUAUUUGAGAACCCACGUUCAUUAAUAAAUCAAGAUAACAUUAAUGCAAUAUCUGACACUACCGGUUCCCCAA